rnacentral:rRNA from 1 species
UACGGAGGGUGCAAGCGUUAUCCGGAUUUAUUGGGUUUAAAGGGUGCGUAGGCGGUGAUAUAAGUCAGUGGUGAAAUCCUGCAGCUUAACUGUAGAACAGCCAUUGAAACUGUAUUACUUGAGUAAUCUUGAGGUAGGCGGAAUGUGUAGUGUAGCGGUGAAAUGCUUAGAUAUUACACAGAACACCGAUUGCGAAGGCAGCUUACUAAGGAUUUACUGACGCUGAUGCACGAAAGCGUGGGGAUCAAACAGG